AUUGAACGCUGGCGGCAGGCCUAAUACAUGCAAGUCGAACGAGUGGCGGACGGGUGAGUAAUGUCUGGGAAACUGCCUGAUGGAGGGGGAUACCUACUGGAAACGGUAGCUAAUACCGCAUACCAUCGGAUGAGCCCAGAUGGGACUAGCUAGUAGGUAGGGGAACGGCUCACCUAGGCGAAGAUCCCUAGCUGGUCUGAGAGGAUGACCAGCCACACUGGAACUGAGACACGGUCCAGACUCCUACGGGAGGCAGCAGUGGGGAAUAUUGCACAAUGGGCGCAAGCCUGAUGCAGCCAUGCAGCGUGUAUGAUGAAGGCCUUCGGGUUGUAAAAUACUUUCAGCAGGGAAGCGUUACCCGCAGAGAAAGCACCGGCUAACUCCGUGCCAGCAGCCGCGGUAAUUC
rnacentral:rRNA from 1 species